rnacentral:lncRNA from 1 species
CUUAUGCUUCUGAAAUUUUCAGGGGAUGUACAGUUUUUUCUAAAUGUUUUGCAUCAGCUUGUGGUCUCAAAUUUGAUUUAUCUAACUUCAGAUUUUAAAACAGAUUGACAACUCUGAUUAUACAUCGUCUUCACUAAACGGACCUUUGCUGAGUUUUGUAUUGUGUUCAUCCCCACCCCACACUCUGCUGUUGCCAUGGGAGCCGAAAUCCUGGCAUGGUUAGCUCCGCCCCCAAGUGGCUCUGUCUCCCAGAGUGCUUUGCUGUUACUAUGGAAAUGCCUGCCUAUUAAUCUUGCUGUCCUUUUACUACCAAAGCACCUUUAACUGUCUCAAGCAAUCAAGUGAUGUUACCUACAGCAGGGAAAGGAAGGAGAAGACGGCCUCCCAUUCUCCAGCUGAAGCGCUGAUUUUAAUCAAGAUUUAAUCAAGGAGCAGAAGAAUGGACUCCCCCAAACUGCUCACCGUGCAGACUUGAUCUAAGCAUGGACACUGUUCUCUCCGAUUGCCUUAAAGAUGCAGCUAAGACCAGUCAGUGGUGUUGGCCAAAGAUAUAGUGGAAGUUUGGCAUGUAUAGAAGUGGGUACUGAGAAUGAUCUACUCUUCCACUGUGGUUGUCACUCCAAGAGCUCACAAACCCUAAAGCCAACUCCAGAGUCCCUGCCUUACUCUCAGGUGGCUCCAGUGUAAUGGUGAGAGGGACUCUUCUUGCACUCUGCUUUCCACCACCUUUGAUGGGAAUCUCUACACUGCUUUACCCCAUAGUCACGGGCUCCUAAUCCUCUGGCCCAGAUAGUGAAAAUGGUCCUUUCCUCCCAAAAUUCAAGGCCCAUUUUUCUUCCACCGGCAUGACUGAGAGUGGAAACAGCCAGGACCUUCAGCGGAAUCAUUCACACUCACUCACAGGUUGCAAUCUGACCUCCAGGCCCCAGACAGGGCUAUCACAGAACAGACAGCACAUUUCCCAAAGUCUGGGUUGUUCAUUCUUCAUUAACUCUGUGGCAGAUACAAUGCCACAUAGUCUCCAAAUUCCAUUUCAUUUUCCUGUUCCUGGGCACGCGAGAAGAUGACAUUUCUCAGAGUCACUUGUAGGUGGGCUGGAACCAUACAUCCAGUCUGGCCAAUGGGAUACAAGUGUGGUCUUCUUGGAUGAGACAGUGAAAAGUCCUUGUACAACCCUCCGUCUCUCUUUUCCCCUGCCACAGUGGUCACAGAAUUAAGUUUUCCAGAUAUAAAUGGCCUGAUUCCUUGAGUCACUUCCUGUGAGAGAAUUGCCCUAGAGCUCCUGCUAUUUCAGUCAGUGUGCUGGGUUCGAAGGCAUACCGUCCUGCCCUCCUGAUCUUAAGAAUUAUUUCACAUUAAAGAGUUUGGAAUUCAUCUUAAGAGCAACCACGAGAGCUUGAAGGAGUUUAAGCCAUGAUACAAUAUUCUUCUUAGAAAGAUCUCUGUAAAAGACAUGAGAGAAAAAAGUUUGAGGGGAAAGACUAGAGGCGGUAAUCCAGGGACGAGCUGGUGACGGCCUGAACUAGUGUGGUGGCAGCAAAAAUAAGUGGAGAUUGGAGAUGCAGUUGGAGCGAGAGAAAUGAAUGGGUGUAACAGGUACAAACCACGUGCACAUGGAAAUUUAAAUUCCUGUUAAAUAUUUUUUUCCGGAAGACUGCUUUAUAGGAAUCUGUACUCAUUUUUACAAUUUGCAAAUAAUGUUUCAAAAUAACCAAAAAAGAAACAGCCUUAGCUCUACACGGGCACCGCAGCUCUCUCGGUGGCACGAAGCCUCAGGUUGCAACUGCUCUCCAGUGUUCAGAAUCACCUGCUGGACACUUCCUUCUUCACAGCUUAGGCAGAUCCCUGCCUCUGACACAGAAGAGCCUGAAAACUCAAAAGGGUGGGAAAAACUGCAUGGGGGCUGCCAAGAAUUGCAUGAUCUUCAAAUAGAAAAACUGUCUUCAAAUCUCUCUCUCUCCUCUUCUUGCUUAUUAAACAGAAAGCUCUCUAUCUCUCCAAUCACCAGCCGCAGCUCUCCCCUUAGCACUUGUCCUUCUCAGAAGAUCCACACAGGGCGGCUCCUCUGGCCUCAUGAUAGAAGUUAAGACUCAGAUGUCAAAGUCUAUGAUUUAGAGGAGUUUGAGGAUUCACCACUUCCCAUUGACAUGACCCUCACCUUGGUCUCACCUUCUCAGGAUAAUUGAGUCCCCCAUCUCCCUCCUUUAUCACACCGGCAAACCUAAACCUUUCUCCUUACACAGUCGUAAUACUUAAUUACAUCUUUAAAAUUAACUCCCCUUUGAGAUAGUGUUGUUUUGUUUUAUUUCACUCUUCUAAAUAAUUUAUAAAGUAGCCUCAUGGAAAGUAAAAUGUAUGGUUGCAUUCUAAAGCUUAUUUUGUAAUAUUUUUAUUCCUUAAUUACUUUUUAAUUUUGAUUUUGGAAAUGGAAAUCAACUACGGUCGAAAUAAUAGUUGAUUAGGAAACUUCCGGCAAAGCAUGAGGAGAGACUGAGAGACAAGCAAUAACAGACCAUACAUUUUCUUUGUCACCUCAUGGUUAGCGAGGAUGCAUUUCAGGCCAAGGUUGAAGACAAACCUUAAGACCCCCGACUUUUACUCUGUUGGUCGUGCAGCAGACACCUCUGAUGCUCUAUGCCAAGUUCCACCUGCCCAUUUCUGAUUUCAGCCACAGCCAUGGUGGACGUUUCCCAUGGGAGCCAGACUCACCGCACCGUGGCAACAUGCCACCUCACUGUGCUGCACAUCUUUCCUCUUUCUGCCUCAGGACCUUCUCCCAUGCCCCUGGAGCCUGUUCAGCCACAUAACACACGCGAGCUGGGGUUAACAUCGCUGGAGACAAUCUUCGGCAAAUAGGAGAAGGAGCUGGUGGAUAACUGCCCCAAUGGCCCAUCCUGCAGGUGGACAGCUCUAGGAGGCCUUCUAUCUGCCUCUCAGAGGACUUGUGUCCCAUCGCCCCCCACGGCAAUUUCAGUAACACACGCUUAUAUCAGCUCUUUGUCCUGCCCUCUUUCCUUCCUCCUACUCCCCUGUUGUUGUUUCUGGCAUCUAUAACUUCACUCUAGGGUUUUGCUUUGAUGGAGAACCCACAUUAAGAAAGCUGACUUGCUUGCUUUUAAGAAUUAAGGGCCUUAGGAGGAGAAUGGGUGAUUUUAGGAGGUAUCAUCAACUGAAUUUAGUGAGUGAUUAGAUCAGAAAGGGGAAAGGCGUGGGAAGGGAGGAACAAAUGUAGCACCCCAUCAACAAUAUCAGUUGUUGUCAUACAGUCGAGGCAGUUCCUAACCAUCUGGCUUGGCUUAUCUGCACUCCUCGUGUAUAAAGGCUGGCCCCAGGCAGGGCGCUAAAGAGAGUAAGACAUACCCUUUCACGGUGCUGCUAGGGGGUCCCUACUCUCCAUCUUCCCCUCCCAAUUCCAUUGCAGAACAUUCAAGGGCCAUCUCAAAAGCCCUGUAUCCUGCUCUUCACCUGGCUUCUGAGAAUUUCUGGUGAUAAUGAAUAAAAAGAGAAGGGAAAAGAAAAAGACCAGGAGCAGGUUAGAGAGGAAAGCGAACGAAGGAAAGGGAAUGAAGUGGAGAGGAUUAGGAUGGGAGGAGACGGGGUGGAUAAAUGGCUGUCACAUCUCUGUGUCCUCUGCACUGCAGGGCCUAAGUCACUCCCAGUGUUCCUCCGCACCAGUCUACUCUCCCUUGGAAAUGCACAACGUGUCUCAAAUGUUUUCCUACCAGUGAAGGUCUGGGUUAAAAUACAGAGCAAUGCUCAGCCAGUGAGCCUGGAUUGCCUGAGGAUGAGCAUCCCUCAUAUCUAGUGCUCAUCCAAUGAACAUCUGUUGAGCACCUGUACCUAACAGGUUCUGUGCUAGGCACCAGGGGCUACAAAAUGAAUAAAGCUCAAGAAACUGCCAUCUGAUCAAGGAGCUAGACUUUUAAAAAUAAUUACAGCCCCUUCCUGUAAGACCAUUUCUAAAAGUACAAAGUAAAGUAGUAGCGUAUCAGUCAUGGUGUUUUUGGCUACUAAUAGGAGAAAAUCUGACUAAGAAUGCCUUAAAUGAUAAGAAAUUUAUUAUCUCAUCAAAAAGAAGUUCAGGGUAGGCUAGUUCAGUGACUCAACAACUCAUCAAAAACUCAGAUUAUUUCUACCUUUCCAUUUGGUCUCGCUCAGCAUGUUAAUUAUUGUCCUUAUGGUUGACUGUAACGGUCACAAGAUUGCUGCUACAGCUCCAGGCAUCACAUCCUCACACAGCUGCACUCACACAGAAGCAGGAAAAGAACAGUUUCUCUUAACAUGUCUUUCUUUUAAUAAGAAAGGAAAAUUGUUCCAGAAGUCCCCCAGCAGACUUCCCCUUAAGUCUUAUUGGCCAGAAUUGUAUCUCAAGUCCACGCUUAAAUGAAUCACUUGGAGGGUCUGCCUGGUGGUACAUUGGUUAAGUGCACACAUUCUGCUUCGGCUGCCUGGAGUUGGCCGGUUCAGAUCCCAGGUGUGGACAUGGCACUGCUUGGCAAGACAUGCUGUGGCAGGCCUCCCACAUAGAAAGUAGAGGAAGAUAGGAACGGAUGUUAGCUCAGGGCCAGUCUUCCUCAGCAAAAAGAAGAGGAUUGGCAGCAGAUGUUAGCUCGGGGCUGAUCUUCCUCAAAAAAGAAAAAAAUGGAUCACUUGGAGAGAAAUUUGAGUCCCUGAUUAAUUCUGACCAAUGAUGCAUUGGUCACCUUUUAGAGCAUUUUAGCUCCAACCCAGACCCUCUUUCUUCUCCCAGCUCAGCCAAGAACCACGUCUGUCUUUCAUGUCAAAGAGGCAGCAGGUGCCGUCAAUCCCACCUAGGCUAAUCAUUGGCUGAGGUACCUAAGCCAGAGUUGAGGCCCCAGCUCAAAUUUGUCCACUGCAGGAGGGUGUAAAUUGUUUUCUUUUUAAGUAUAGAAGUAAUUAAUAACAACCUUUAAAGUUUUAUUUAACUUCAUACAAAACUCAGUACCUCUCAAACAGUUGACAAGUGUCAAUAGAGAGCAACAACAAAAAAGAAACAAAAAGAAAUCCACAGUGAUCUCAGAGUGGAUAUUUGGUGACGCUGUCAUUGACCCUCCUUUAGAGAAACAUGGGCUCCUAGGAAGGCAGAACAACCCAGGGCUCUCCGAGCCAGCACGUGCUGAGGAAGAGCCCAUCAGAGAAAAAGAGAAAGGAAAAUUCAUACCAAGUCCUCACACUGUUCCUCUUGAAUAGAAAACGGUACAAAGAUGAAAAGAGAGAAGGCAGCCGGCAAAGCCUCGUCACCUACGGCCCUGCUAAAUAGAAAACACAGAGACUCGCCACAGGGCAGCUCCAUAAAGCCACUCUGGAUGCCGUUUUGCUAAUUGUGUUUGCUAUGACACCAAGCGCUGCUUAGCUGGGCUCCCAGAGUGUCUCCAUAAUGGCAAUCACUUGCCAGGAGCGAGAGUGAUUUUUAUUUGAUAUCCAUACAAAGCAGAAGCAAAUGAAUUACCAUAAUGAGAAGCAACAUAAUGAUGUAGAGAUGUACAAACUGCCAUUGUGUUUAAUAACAACAAAGCCUUCCCUUUUGAAUUAAAUUUGCGGGAAGAUUCUUAGUGAAGCAUCAUUGUAGUGAAACCAAGUUGUUUAAAAAAAAAAACGAAAAAACCCACUCCAAAGUAUUUCAGGCCCAUGAUGACUGGAAAGGUUGUUAGGAGAAUUUUUUUCUUCAAUUUUGAUUCUCAGUAAAAUCGACUUUAUUGUAGCACUACACAGCUGCGAUUUGUGAAGUAAAUGGCAAAGCUAAAUGUGCCGAAACCCGACACGUUCCCUGAGCAACAAAGGGAUGGAAGGCAAAUGUUACAGUAUUAUUGACAACACUGGUAAUGCUUGUAUAAGCAUCUGCUUCAUAAAGGGGAAAAACCUACAUUAUAAACAAAAGGAGUUUCCAAGCGAGGUCUGCCAACUCAAAUUGUGGCUUUGAUCUGAAUUUUCACUUGUUAGAUCAAAUAUUUCCUCUUUUUACCUUUUCCAUCCAAAGUAAAAAAAAUUCUCUGAUCCUGGAAACCUCCCUGUAACUGACUCAUUUUUUUUCUUUCUCUAAAAUUGUUUCCUACCUGUUCUGGUAUUUACCUGUUUCCCACCAGCUGACGUUUGACAACGGAUGAAGACACCACUGAUUAGCACGGCAUCAAUUUACAUCUGUUCCCAUGAUCAUGAUGAGGGCAUUGUCCUCCUCUUAGACGGAGUCCAGUGUGUGAAGGGAAUGUGUCCUUCCCCCACCUCGACCUGCCUCAACGCUUUCAAUGCUGCUAUUUGUAUCCAUUUUAUAAUAGAACAUUCUGGUUUCAUUAAUGGACAAACCCAGAGCCAGACCAUGGCUUGCACUAGAUUGAGCUAGACUGGAGCAAAAUCUGAAGAGCAAUCUUAGGGGACUAGAUGUCAAGCGCCUCUGGUCCCCGGGUUCAGCUCCCCACUGAAUGUGACGGAGGAAAGUCGACUUCUUUGUGUCUGUCUCAGUUUUCCCAGCUGUUAAAUAGGCACAAUAUCUGCUCCCUCCACAUCAUAGGAGUGUCUUGAGAAUCAAAUCAUAUUCCAGUAUUUUGUUAACUGUUAUUGCUAUGUCCAUGAGAGACAAUGGGAGGUCUUUUAGUAAACCCAAAACGCAUCCAGAGAAUCAUAUAACUUAUAAGGAUCUAUAUUUUGGGGUUUGUCAUUUUAUCAUCCAACAAAUAUUUCCUGAGGUCCUAUUCAAUGCAAGGCACAAUCCUCAGGGCUGUGGGAAAAAAUAUGAUGCCUGCCCUGGAGGGGUUAUAAACAAAGUGAGCGAGAAGGCACGCCCAUAUAAAAAGAUGACUGGAGACAGAGCCCAUAUCUAAAUACCAAAUGGGAGAUGGUAUUAUAACCCAGGGAUUGGGGGUGCAGGCAUGGGCAUCACAUUUUCUGGGUCUGAAGCCCGGCUCUGUCACUGACUAACCAUGUGUCCUUGGGCAAGUUACUUAACCUCUCUAUGCCUCAGUUUCCUCAUCUGUGAAAUGGGGAUAAGAAUAGCACCUACCUUAUAAGCUUAUUGUGAGGAAUAAAUGUAUUACUAUAUCAAUAAUUCUCAGAACAGUGCCUGGCACAUACAUAGGACACACUUAAUGAAUGUUUGCUGAACAUAAAGAUACCUUGUGGUACAACAACCAAGAGGGAGAGAGAGCACUAAAGAUUACGGUCAAGUGGCUCUGGUGUCCUGAUCUGGGGGUGGAAGGUUGGGAAGGGCCAGCGGAGGUGGAGUGAAGGGAUGAGGGAUUAGACAGGAGAGGAUUCCAGACAGGUCAAACGGCCUGCACAAAGGCUCACAGCCAGGUUCGCAUGAGGCACAUUUGGGGUAGAAUGAAGAGAAGGGUCAGAGUUUCCUAGUGGAAACAGUGGGGGCAGGGCGGGGGUGGGGGCGCUGUAAGUAGGGAUCUAGGUGGGAUAGCUCAUCUCCGCCUGCAUCUCCGGGGCCAAAAGCUGGAGUGAGUAAAGGGGCCGUAUUUCAAAGCUGCCAGCAAAGUCUCUUUCUCUACAGACAAUGGCUUGAAUGUACCUUUGAAAGUGUAUUGCUUUUGAGUUUUGGAGGGAGAAACAGAGCACUUUAAUGAGCUUUUGGUCCUACAAAGAUAAAUCUAAAUACACCAUUUCUGAAAGUGUUCCUUCACAAUGACAUGCUAAACUGCUUUGCACGAUAACCUUAAGGCCAUCCCAUCAGGCUUGCACGAAAUUCCCAGGAUUCUACCCACAGACACCUAGAGAGGAACGGGGAGAGAAAAGGACACAGGGAGAGAGAGAAAAACUAGCUAGAAAGCGUGGACACUUCUGCCUCAGGAGCAGGUAGGAACUGCGAUUCGCCUUUUCUCUCCACGGUUUUCAGCCCCUGUGCCUUAAGCAGUAUGAGCAUCUCACCACGGAAAAUGGGAUUCUGAAGUUAAAAUAAACCUUAAACCCAGACCAGCUACUUCCUCUGGUGUUCUGCUGAGGAAAUCGUGGCCUCUACUAGGCUUACAGAGAAAAGUGCGUCCACCUACAAUGCGGCUCUCCUCUAGUGGUCUCCAAAGUUAAUUUCUUACACAAAUUCUGCCUUACACAGUAACUUUAGAACUUAAUCCCCAGGAAAGAUUCGGCUCUACUGUACAGAAGAUUGUUUUUAUUGUGGGUAGAAUUUAUCACAACAGAUUACGUUUCUGUGGGAGGGGCUAGUGGAGACCAGGUAUGAGGAGGAAUGUGGAUCCUCUUCAGCCAUGUCUUUUGGGGGCUCAUAUGUGUGGCCUGAACUUCAGAGAGGGGAGACAGCAGAGGUCUGUCUUUGUGAAGGGAGAUAAUCAGGCCCUUGAAAAAAGAUGGCAGGCCAAGAACUGAGGAGAGACCCAGUGUGUUAUCCUGUGGGAGGCCUUGGUCUCUGGACUGCAGAAGAAUUCAUAUCUAGCAUUCAAAGCUAAGGGGUGGGGGAGUCUGUAUUAUAAUUUCUUCUUCUAACCCUUACUUUUCAAUGGAGUAUUUGUUUUUAAUCAUGAGGCAUGAUCUAGGCUAUGCUCUGGGCCAAGUGGUAAAGAGUAUCAGAAACAGAGAUGGAGCAGGAGCUUCCGGAAGCCAAAGUCAAGAAGAUUGGAGCAUCCGUGAGGAACAGAACAGCUGACUGGGUCUCUGGUGCGGUAGCCCAUGGUUAGAAAUCUCACCGCCGAAAAUAUUCUGCCUCAGUUAACACUUGUCCUCUGCGAGCAAACAUUAAAUGGAAGUCACUGUACAUUAUCCCUGAGCAAAGCAAUGAGGAAAGUCCCCUCAGAGGCGGCAGGACUGGGCUCUGAGUAAGGGUGUUCCCUUUCCAACGGGCUGCCUUUCAGGACCACCCAGAGCCUGCCUUGUCAUCCCACAGCACCCCAGAAGGUCCCCUCUCACUGCAUUGGCCACUCGUUACUGUAACCGCCAUUUUAUUCCUGGAAAGGAAGAACCAAAGUGAGGGACGCUGUGAACAACAGACAGGCCUUGGUUGCUGAUGGGGUGACUGCAGAGAAACCGUCUUCUGCUCUUUGCUUCGCUGUUUUGCCUCCUUAUCUAGCCCCUCUCACUCCAUCUCAGUGAAAUCCGUCGUGAUCUCCUAGCUCAGAUUUCACAAGUCAACAAAAAAUUAGAACUACUUUAACGACAUUGGUUCUACCGUGCCAGGCCAUGGGCUAGAAGUUACAAGAGUAUGCAGUCUCUACUUGCUUUUUAUUGCAGAACAGCACAUUCCUGGAGCCCAUGUCAUAAAGCGGAUCACUGAAAAGCAAAUUACAUUUUCCCACAGGAACAAUGUUGUAAUUAGAGGCUGUAUUCCUGACAAAGGACUUGGCUUCAUGUAAAUAGUAGACAUGAACAAAAAUAUUUCACAAAAGCAAACAUUUGAGAACUAUAAAUCCUUAUAAUUGUUUAAAAUAAUAAAAUUUUCUUCAAGUAUUAUAAACCAGGCGGGAUUAGAGCGAGUACACACUGAUUAUUCGGGGACUCCAAUGUACCAUAAAGUGUACAUUAAAAUAUAACUACUGUGUCAUAAAUUAGAACCUGAAACUAACUUUAAUAUAGUCAUUACAUACUUAAUUAACAAUGGGAAGGCAGAGAAGUACCAUGAUCACGUGCAGCAUUGGGCGUUAGGAGAGCUAAACUACAGGCUCGCCCUCUAGACUGUGAGCUCUAUGAGGCUAGAGGCUGGGCCUGCCCGGAGUAGGUCAAAAUCAUAUUUACAAUGAACAGCCCAGCCCUGGGUUGUCACUUUGAGUAAGCAAAUCACUUUCUCUAGUUUCUGUCUCUUCAUAUGUAAAACAAGGAAGCUCAACUGUAAAGUCUCUAAGGUCCCCAGCAGCUCCAACAUUCUGGGACUGCCACUUUGGUCUCUUAGAAUUCAAAAGAGUUUCUGGGUGUAGUCAGCUGUGACUUCAGUGAACCUCAGUAUGACCCUCCAGUAUUUAUACACUCCUGUAGUCGCCAACCACAUUCUGGGCUUGGCCAUGUGAAUGGCUCUGGCUAGUGGGACUUUAGCAAGCCAGAUACAACAGAGGCUUAGUAAGCACUUGCAAACUGGGGCUUGUUCCCUUGGAAUAUUCCCUCUUGGAAUCCAGGUACCAUGCUGUGAGGAGCCCAAGACCCACGGAGAGGCCACGUGGAGGGAAACCAGGGCAUUCUGGUGGACUGUCCCACUGAGCUCCCAACCAACUGCCAGCACCCACUGCUAGUCAUGAGUAAGCAUCUUGGACAUUACAGCCCAGUUGAGCCCCCAGAUGACAGCAGCCCCAGCUGAUACCACGUGGAGCAAAAGAACCUCCCAACUGAGCCCAGGCAACCCAUAAAGUUGUGAAAGAUAAUACAACAAUUGCUGUUUUGAGGCACCAAGUUUUGGGGUGGUUCAUGGUGCAGCCAUAGCUAAUUGAAACUCUAGCACAUGGCUUAAAUGGCUCUGGACAUUGGUAAAAACAAACCAUCCAAAGAAGAUUGAAUAAUGUCUAUGUUUCUCCAUAUGAAUUUUCCUCUCCUGAGAAACAUUUAAAAUAUUCCAAUUAUCUUAAAAUAGACUCAAAAUACUGUAGUAGUGUUCAAUAAAUAUUUGUAGUAGAUAAAGAUGUUUCCUCUUCCUGAAAAAUAUUCUUCCUCUUUACCUUCUCUUGAGAAGGUAGAGUUGUUCAAAUGCAUAAUCAAAUAAAGGUCAC